rnacentral:antisense_RNA from 1 species
GGUGCAAGAGGCGAUCUGGGCUCUAGUGAAAUGUUUGUGCAUUUGUUGAAUGAAGUUGGAUUGCGAUUUUGUGUCUAGGCAAAAUAUGGAGAAAUGGUGGCCACGAUUGGACUCGAACCAACGACCACUACCA